rnacentral:rRNA from 1 species
UACGUAGGGGGCGAGCGUUGUCCGGAAUUAUUGGGCGUAAAGAGCGUGUAGGCGGUUCGGUAAGUCUGCCGUGAAAACCUGGGGCUCAACCCCGGGCGUGCGGUGGAUACUGCCGGGCUAGAGGGUGGUAGAGGCGAGUGGAAUUCCCGGUGUAGCGGUGAAAUGCGCAGAUAUCGGGAAGAACACCAGUGGCGAAGGCGCUCUACUGGGACGGUACUGACGCUGAGACGCGAAAGCGUGGGGAGCGAACAGG